UACGUAGGGUGCAAGCGUUGUCCGGAAUUAUUGGGCGUAAAGAGCUUGUAGGCGGUUUGUCGCGUCUGCUGUGAAAUCCCGAGGCUCAACCUCGGGUCUGCAGUCGAUACGAGCAAACUAGAGUGUUGCAGGGGAGACUGGAAUUCCUGGUGUAGCGGUAAAAUGCGCAGAUAUCAGGAGGAACACCGGUGGCGAAGGCGGGUCUCUGGGCAACAACUGACGCUGAGGAGCGAAAGCGUGGGGGGCGAACAGG
rnacentral:rRNA from 1 species